AACUCUAUACAGUAGUUCUAAAUAUUAACAAAAAUAAAAACUGAUCUAAUACAGUGUUUUAUAUAGUGUUUCCUCUUGUUUAAGUGAGCCCUUAGUGAAUUUUGCAAAAUAAUUUAAUUAAGCCUUGUGUUUUGUAGUAUUGAAGUACUAUGAGAGAGAGAGAAGUGAACACUUCAUGCUGAAAGGAAGCUGUUCACUUACAGAUGCGAUGAAUGCAGACUCUGUUACCAUUUUGGCUGUUUAGACCCUCCCUUGAAAAAGUCUCCAAAGCAAACUGGCUAUGGAUGGAUCUGUCAGGAAUGUGACUCUACAUCUUCCAAAGACUCCGAGCCGUCAAAUGAGGUGGUCUCAGAGGCCCCAGGUAAUGUGGUACCCUCUACCUCAAGAAGUAGCUCUGAAGAGCUGAUAUCGGUGGCACAGAAACAUCCAGAAGAGGAAACCUUGAGAGGGGAGAACCAGUAUGCAGAAUUUCCAAAUUCAGAACUCACUGUGAAACAACCCAUCUAAGUUACAUUUGGGUAAGUCAGCACAGUAAGCA